UACGGAGGGUGCAAGCGUUAUCCGGAUUUACUGGGUUUAAAGGGUGCGUAGGCGGGCCUUUAAGUCAGUGGUGAAAUCUCCCCGCUCAACGGGGAAACUGCCAUUGAUACUAUUGGUCUUGAAUUUAGUUGAGGUGGGCGGAAUGUGUCGUGUAGCGGUGAAAUGCUUAGAUAUAACACAGAACACCGAUUGCGAAGGCAGCUCGCUAAACUAAUAUUGACGCUGAGGCACGAAAGCGUGGGGAUCAAACAGG
rnacentral:rRNA from 1 species